UGGGUAGAUGGCGGAAUUAGGUAUACGCACCAUAUUCAAAAUUUGGUAACUUUAGUUAUGAGGGUUCAAAUCCCUCUCUACCUAUC
rnacentral:tRNA from 1 species